UUUAUUCAAAUUUUCGUGUAUCUCGUAAUUCACCUAAUUUGCUACAUAUUAGCCAAAAUUUAAUUUUAUUUAAAUUUAAUUAAAAAUUAAUUUAAAUUCUGUUAAAAUUUUACAAAUUAUAUAAAGGUUAUUGUCUCUUUGUGAAAACAUAUUAUUUAAUAAUUAAAUUUCCACAAAAUUUUGCACCUGUGUAUCUUAUCACCUUAUCUUUUCUUUAACCGGAGAACAGGUCGUGUUUGAGAGCGUUAUGUUAAUAUUUACGUUUGUCUGUGAUAGGGAAACCGUAUACUAUAGAUAUUAUGCGCUCGAUCAGCAUAACCCCCGAUUCAGAAUAAAGUCAAUAAUCAGGACACUAUUCUGCCGACGGGAAAAUAAACUAAUUAACGUUCUCUGACAGCAGCGCUUUUAGCAUUUCGAUAUUUUGACCACAAAUUUCCCACUGUGCUGCUUUCUAUAUAGCUUCUAUAAUACUCGCAUCACAAAGAGAUGAAGACGUACAAAACAGCGCAAGAGAGAUAUACGACAGACCGUAAAACUCUUUAUACUGCUCGAUUAUUCACCUAAAAAAAGAAGAGCACACGUCCGUUCUUUUCUUUUUUAGCAAGAUAUACAGCACUGCAACGACGGGACGUCGAAUUUCUCCUCGAAGGACGGGGGGUGACGAAGAAAUUUAGAUAUUUAAGUUCGUUCACAGCGUAUACCAGCGAGUUUGCUCGCUCGACGCGACUUAAAUUAUCCCAUAUCCCUCGGGUCCCCAGGGCGAAAAAGGAUCGAAUAGGUUAGCCGAUGUGCCGCAAGCGUCCUCGGGGGUGGCACUAAAUUAGAUAAUGAAGCAGUCUCUCUCUCUCUCUCUCUCUCUCUCUCUCUCUCUCUCUCUCUCUCUCUCUCUCUCUCUCUGUCUGUCUCUCUCUCUCUCUCCCUCUCUGUCUCGCUAUCUAGCACGCCUGUUCGACUAUGCGGACUGCCGGCUGAAGUGUAUCGCUCCUGAUAAUCCGCCUUGCUUAACUCAAUAAAAGCAGCAGCAUAGCGAAGUGUCGGGAAGUCGAGCUUUGCAGAUUAAAAGCUGCUUCUUGUUACUCUUGUUAGUUCAGCCACCACAAUCUAGCGUCUAAUCGCUAUACGGGAGUUUAUUAAUAUUUUAUUGAUAUACCCGUAUAAAUUAACGCUGCAUGUGUGUUACAUCAACGUGAAUGAUUUAAUAUGCCGUCAUUAAUCAGCUAGCAGGACAAGCUCCUUACAAGCGCUGAAUUAUCCCGCGCACAAAGAAAUAUCGGAUGAAGUUUACGGCACCGAGUGAAAGGUUUAUUACGAUGUAAAUUAUAUUAUUAAGCGAAUUAACAGAGAAACGCAAACGUCGGAACCGUGCGAGCGAAGCAAGGCGCGCGAGCGCGCGUCAACUUCUAACAACAUUACAGCUACGAAAUUCGUAAUUAGGAGCGGACAAAAGCAGAAAAUUGAACGUGCCUGGCGUGCAUCGUUCGCGCAAAGGCGGAAAUCCUCUUACGAAACUACACAUCGAAAGAUGGCGGUUUCUCGCGCGACGGUGAGCACCGCAAUUCCACGUCGCAUAAGUUUCGCGACCAAGUUUCGAUCUGGUCGCCGCGAAAGCCGCGAGCGAUUGCGAUUCGUGGUGUGUGUUUGGAAUUCUCCGUCGGAAUUAUCCUUGCAAAACUACAUCUUUGCUCUCUCUCUCUCUCACACACACACACACACACACACACACACACACACACCACACACACUUCUCUCUCACCACUUUUCUUACUGCGUCACUUGUCCAACAUUUCUUCGAAAAAUCGAGACUCACGGAAAUAUCGUUCCAUUGAUCGUUGUCGUUGUCAAGCUCAUUAAAGAUAAGGAGAUCCAAAAUUGAACGGUCAACUAAUCCGCGGCGUACAAUAAAGUAGACUGAUAAUGCUUCAGUGGACGCAUUCGCUUUCAUCUUUCGGUUCAACGACCGCGCUGUCGUGUUUCCGCCGUAAAUGUGUCGCAUUUAUUCCGCGACACUGACCCCUCGAAGCGAAGCUUCGUCACUUUUGACCUAGCGACAUCGAGGUUGUCAUCACACAUCAAACAGAAUGUUCUAUAAUAUUCCAUCAUUAACAUUCUCAUGUACAUUAACGUAUAAAUGCUGAUAGAUCACGUUUGAUUCUUUCAUUCGAUAAGUGUAAAGCUGUUUUAAAUAAAUAAUUCUUUCCCCCUUAAAACUCGAAAGAAGAAUAAGGACUUCAACAUUGCCCUUCAUCUCUAUCCCACGCAAUGACCGCGAUAAAUAUGAGGUAACGUCCGACAACCUGGACCACGAAAUGGCUCGGUCAGGGCUUAGAACGGCACCCACCGGAAGAAGAAGUGUUAUUGUCUUCGUGGGAAUUAGCGGCGACUUAAUGCUGGGAAUUUUCGCCUCGCCGCCGACUUAUUCUACCCUCGUGCAGGUCGAUCUCUCGCGUUUCGAAGCAUGUCACGUAACAACGUCGGAGUAAAUCCGACCGACACACUUCCGCCUUGGCGAGAAAAUUUCGAGGUUCGCGUAAAUUUUUUAUGCGUUACUCAGAAGAGACGGCCGAUUUUAGAGAUUGCGGUAGGUCGGGAAAACUUGUAAAAACUAAAAACGCGAAGAUAAUUAUAGGCGUAAAGAUGCAUCGUUUUAUCGUAAAAAAAAAAAACGUCAGUACAACAAAUAAAUUACGAAAAAACUAUGCAAAAUUAAUUGUAAUAGUCUCAAUGACGCGAGAAAACAUCUGCGUGUAUCAUUAAUAUUCAUUAUGGCAAUGCCGCAAAGUUGACUCGCCGCAAAGUUUUUCUUUCAAAAUGGGGAGACAAUCUUGAGACUUGGAGAUUAACCCUUUAAGAAGCUAAAAGCUUCUUUGUUAACUUAUAAUACAGAAAUGGAUAAAGGUUAUCCGUCUUCAACGGCACAAAUGCACGCCUAAUUAACGUCAGCUGUACAGGUACUCAUCGAUAAUAUCUCGACGAAUUCAGAGGGGAUAUCUCGACAUCCCGAAAUUAGCUUGUCAUUCGACUAUUCAUCGCUCCGGGACGCGUGUCCCGGACCGGAUGUGCCGGAACACUGUGUUAGUCUCUCCUCUCUGGGGAAAAAAAUAUAUCGACUCAACAAUGCUGUAAAGAUGGAUGCGAGGUGAUGAUCGAAGUGUCUCGGAAUACCGCUCGAUCAGCCGAUUUGUAACGCGAGAUCGGUCGGUCGGCGAAUUUCUGUUCGCAAAGACGGUGAAGGAAAGAAGGGAAUUACGAAGCCCCCGAGUCGAAGAACACCUGCUUCUCUGGAUUAUUCCUCGCAGAAGGCGCGCAUAGAAACUGUAGUAAUUUAAAAAUGAGAGGGUUCGCAGACCGGUCGGUCUCCCUACUUUGAGCGCAAAAAUAUAUUCAAAUUAAAUUUUAAUCUUUAAUGCGCUGUAAGUUCUCCCAUUUUGAUAUUUAAAUAUUUAAUUGUACCCCACGUCGCUCUUCUAUGCAAGUAUUUCAUUUCCAUUUUAAAUGUUUAAUAUCCCCGUCGGUAUGCGCUAUUGUCUCUGAAGAACAAAGAUUAAAUACCGAAAGCCGUGCGACACCGGGAGUUCGCAAUUUCUUUGUAAUAUCUCCAUUAGCAUAAUUUCUUUAUCAUAAUAUCUUCCCUAUCCAUCUAUCUAUUCAUCCAUCCACUUUACCAGAGUUAAACUCGACACGCACGUAAAACAUUCACACCCUCUACUCCACCAUGAAUGCUGGUGCAUGUACACGCGAUGAUGUUGGCGCCGGUGAUGGUGUUGGUGCUGGUACCGGUGCCGGUGCCGGUGCCGGUGCCGGGAAUCCCCCGUCCACCCCCUUCUUCUCCCCCUCUCGGGACGCGUGCACUUGAUAUCUAUGCAUGAGUCGGCGCACACGCGUGACACGCUCGAGCGUGUCGCGACGACACGCUAGCGCAGCGUGCAGGAUCACGCACGGAGAGCAAUUCAUAUGUGUGUAUGUGUGUAUGUCUGCGAGGGGUAGUUAGCCAGUGCUCGGUGGUUGCAACGGGUCGGGGGUGCCGGUUCGAGCAAUAGUGGUAGUGAUGGUAGUGUGUGGCGUAGCCCCGGGAUCGAUCCAGGGACCACGGCAUCAUCCUCCAGCCCUCAACGACCGACUCAACCCGGCCCUUCCACCCCCGAGGCUUUGGGAGGGCAGCCACCCCUCGCGCAACCUCCUCUCUCUCUCUCUCUCCCCCCCCCCCCCCGCUCUUCGAACCGCGCCCGUGCGCGCGAUCGCCUUAUGGAGCUCCUCUCUAUCAGCCUGCACAAAUAAAGCCUGCAUACGGAGCGUGAGCGUAUGUAAAGGGUUCAAACGGGCCUGUGGCACACUGUGGAAAUGGAAAAGAAUGACUUCAAAGGGCGCUCAAGAGGAUGCCGUGUCCCGAAGAAGGUGAGAUAGGGAUCGACGAGAAUCCUGAGCGAUAGUUUCACUGGUUUAAAGCGAACACUAGUCAAGUAAAGUGGCUCUUUGUUUAUCUGGACUCGACCAACAUGAAUAAAUUAACAUGCAAAAAGUAAAUUAGUAAUGCGUGUAAUUAGUGAAAUAUAUUUUUUGUUUAAGAAAUCAAUUUAAAUUAAAAAAUUCUUCUAAGAUUGGGUUUUAAGUUGGAAUAGUUGUAUUAAUAAACUCUAUUUUCAUUUUGUUACAAUAUUAAAAGCAACUGGUUAAAAUUACUAAGUAAUCAACCGAAUUUUUAUUACAUUUUUACUUUGUAAAAUAAACAUAAAAAAGAUAAAUUAAUUAAUUAAAUAAUAAUUUAAAGAUGAUAAUAAAAUUGCGGACAAUCUUAUGGGGGAUUAAUGUCUUGAGUAGCAAAAAUGUCGGAAUACACACACGAGCGACGGUCGAUGGUCGGUUAGCCGCGCUGCUAUUUCCUUUGGUUGCCGCUUGCAGGAAAGCUCUCCGCGAGGUAACGGGCUCUCCGAGCUUUUGGGCGUGAGAGCGAAUGGCGAACGGCAGGCCUCUCGAUCCGACAGGGAAAGCUCUCUCGUCAAAAUCCUCGCCGACGCGAGCGGAUUCAAGCACACGCGCGCGCGCCUACCUCAACCAAUAAAAGAACCGUUGCAAACGGAUUCGACGGUUUCUCGAUAUGUAAUUUCCCUCGCGGCGCAAAAAAAAAUGAAAGAAAGGAAGAAAACAAGAAAAAACCAAGGGAACAUUUCCGCCGUUUAUUCCGGCGAGUGACCUCACAAAUGAGGCGAUCUCACGGCUUAAGCGACGCGAGCUGAGUUUAUCGCGUUUCAACGUAUCGAGUACUUUAAAGCUGCGAAUGGUAAAAAAAACUCAAGAAAUAAAUCGAAGCUAAAAGCCGAGCGAUAGAGAACACGAAUGUGGAUAUUUAUAUGCAUUUGCAAAGAAUUCCUGAAUAGUUAUGGCGACACGGAACAAUUCCCGUAAUACUUUUGAAAUAUAAAUAAGAUUAGCUAUAAUGUUAAAAGUAAGAAAUCAUUUAUCGUAUUAAGUGGUAAAACAACAACAGUAGCUGUUAGCGUAGGACAGUAAUGCGUAGGAGGGUAAUGCAAUUUCAACCAAGCACUAAGCCGGUGCAGCCAGACCAACAGUAUAUUGUAGACAAGAAAUGUUUGUGCGAGACUCUAAUGGUUAUCCGCGUUAUCGUUUCUCGGGUUAAGAACUAAUGUGAUUGCCGUCGAACAGCCGGCGUAAUAGUCGAAAAGUAAUAGUACACGAUUCGACAUUGUCGGACGUUUAUCGGUUUUAACCACGAAAGUUCCGAGCCGUUAAAAUAAUUGCAACGCGGUGAAAGAACGUUGCGAGGACUCCCGGGGGACCCGCGGUAGAGGGGAUGCACGAAUUCGCGACCGAUUAGAGCCGGGAACGUGCAAUAUCCUCCCGAGGAAUCUAAAUCAAGCCGUUGCGUGGCGGCAAUCUCGUCGGUCGGGUAAUGCGCGAUUUGCGUGGAAACGAAACGCGAUAUGCCGCGUUUAAGCGGCCGAGCUCCGACGUCCGAGUAGUAGUUUCUCGCGAGAAUAUCGAGGAGCCACGCAACAGUUUCCUUGAGUAAAGGACUUGGAUCUAUCCUUCUGUCCCUUUCUUUCUUCCUUCCAUUCGCAUUCCUCAUUUUCUUGGAAUGCCUCUUUAUGGCAAUUCACCAUCGCGAGGUGAAUCUAAAGGCGGCCGCAAAAGACGAAUAUCGCGAUUGCAUGCCUCAGUUGUCAUUAUGUUGUGAUUUUUAGGAUAUCAAUCUUGAGAAAUACAAAUGUGAGAUAUUUAUUUAUUUAUUUAUUUAUUCAGAUUUUUAUCGAAAAAGUAUGAAGAACUCGACUGUAAUAUGUUUUUACUAUGUUCCAAGUGGUUAUACCACUGAAAGAGAAAAUUCAAUUAAAUUCAGAACGCGAUGAAUCUCAAUUGAUAUUGGUGCAUCCAAGCGUGGAUUAUAGGACGCUAGACACCCUGUAGCUCAAACUUGGCGUAGAACACAGAUCCGCGCACUCACACAUUCCUAGUAUAACCACGAACUUUCCCGUCGCCCUUCGUGGGAACUUCCGCGUGCGCAGCGUUCCCUUCUUCCCACUCCCGCGAAAGAUUAAAUAAUGGAUUUCCGCGUGGCGGCCAAUCAAAUAAUCAAAGGUCUUGGAUCACCGAACGAUUAUUCCGACGGCGGCUAAUAGCGAUAUUCAUGCUUCAGCUGGGACGACAAACAAAGAAAAAGGACGUCAAAGUGUUAUAAUUGCAUAGAUAGAGACACGUCGUUCUUUGAUCGUCAACUUUGUCUCGAGCGUCGCCUCUAACGAUAAGUAAAGCUCGGUGAUCGAGCUUGAAGGCAAAUAAUCCUUCUUCAAGGGUAUGCUCUGUAUUGGAAAAACGCAAAUUUACCUCACCCUUUGCUCUGAUUUGCUCUUGCCGCAAAUUUGCUCUUUUGCUUAGCAAUCCGAUUAAAACUCAUAAAUACAUUUAAGUUUAAAUAAGAACAGAGCAUUUGCAACUGUAACUGAUGCUAAAUGAGAUACAAAUUAAUUAGUAAGUCUCGCAAAACAUCUAUAGUCGUAAGGAGAAACGCUUUAAAAAUUCACGCGCUUCCAGAUGGAUGCUUUUAUUACCAAAGAGAUGAGAUAAGAUAUUGGUUUCUAUCAGAAUUUGUCAGGCGAUAUCCAUUACAUCUCGAAAUUUAGGUUGCCUCGUGAAUUGCAGCGAAACUUACGAGUCGAGAGUGCGGUUCUAGUAGUUAAUACCGAGAGAGAGAGAGAGAGAGAGAGAGAGAGAGAGAGAGAGAGAGAGAGAGAGAGAGAGAGAUGCGGCAUGGCAAGCCAGUGGCAACUCUCAUUACGCCUUACAAACAGUAUCCUGAACUUAUGGCUGAUUAGGACAAAUGGAAACGGGGCAUCCCGGUGGGCUGCGCGCGCGAACGUUAUAUGACGUGCUCGCGAUGUUAAGUCGGCCUCGUUACAGCCAGCGGCAAGAUAACGAACGGCCACGUGGCAGCUCUCGUCAGGAGGAAUGGUUGCUAGGUGACGUACAUCGCUAGCUGUACAUCCCGUACGAUGUCUCCGCAUACGUCUUUCGGGAUUACCGCCUCAUUACCGCGUGAUUAGACCUCCCGACUCUAUAAUAGGGUCUUGAAAAUUUCUUUUGCGCUCUGAUGCUCGAAGGACGCUGUAAAAUGAGCAGGGCGCCUUAACUCGACCUGUAGCGCGGCACAGUGAUACCGCACUCGAUUAUCAUCUAAUUAGGGUACCCUUUCCCCUCCCCCUAUCCCCCUUCCAUUCUAUCUCAUCCCCGGGAAGAUAAGAAAGACUUUAUGGGGACGACGUGGUGGUAGUGUCACCGGGGCAGGAUGCAGCUCGUAAAAGCGCUCGUUAAGGUCUACACCGUGAUUACGCGCAACCCGACAUUUUCAGGACUGAUCUUCAUCGAGGUGGGAUUUCCUGUAAUCGGAUAAACGAUUAAUUCCCGUUCCGUAAACGAGAGCCUUGGGCGCCGUUGAUUUUUAACAGUCGCGACGCAAAAGGAUAGCGUCCUCGUUUCCAUCUCUCUUCUAAGAAUUUCUCAAUUUUAACUAUAACGCUCUGAGGACGCGGCAUAAAUUGCCGUCAAGAGAACCAUGGUUUCAUUAACAGUCCCUUUUGAUAAAGUUUAUGCAAAGUAAAGAGCAUUCAAGAUUGGAAAAUUUUUCACCAAGGUUGAAAUAGAACACCGUGGAAUAAUCUAAAACUAAAUUUUCCUCUAGCGACACAUAUUUACUAUACGCAUAUUUUUCAAUUUCAUAUUAGAAUGUAUAUUUUUUUCAUAUCAAUAUUUCAUCUGUAUAUAUUAUUUUUAAUUUUAAAAUUUAUAAUUUAUUUCUAUAUUUCCUAUUUGAUUCUUUUUUAAUCGCUAUAUAUCCCUAUCUAUAUAUGAAGUUGCGGCGAAUAGUUAUUCAUUAUGUUACUCGGGAGCUAUUUUGUGAUAAUAGGGCUCCAUUCGAGUCUUUUACGGGGAUCAAAAUGAAGCAUAAAAGGACAGCUUAGAGCACCCAACAUCCAGAUGUAUCCGAUAGGACGAUAAAAACGAACGGUCUAAUCCUGUGCACCGGCGGGAUCUUUUAUCUCCUCGCGAGGACGUCUCCAUCCAUUUCCAUGGAAGAAGCGCCUUAUGGAAACCCUCUGUCAAGGGAUAAUAAGGCCCGCAUGCCAAGCACGAAGAGUAUGGCAUGUCGUUAAACGACCUCCUCGACUUUCCCCCGAAGAAUUUUCUCUAUCCCCCUUCCCUCCCGUCCCGCUCUCUCGCUCCCAGCCCCGGCUACCGUCGCGAAUCCGCCAGGGGGGACAGGGGGAAGAGUGAAGAAAGGUGGUGGGUGCGGGAACACCUGUAUCCCGACGAAGGAUAACGAUUAUCACGGCAGAAUGCCCCGGAAUACGGCGCAGCGCAAUUUUUAUGAAAUGUCCCGACGCGAAAUUCCGCAAAAAGUCGCCGCCUCAUGAAAUUAUAUAGUGACGUUAAGUUAUGCGGAUCCUCCUUAUCCCUCUCCUUCUCGGUUACUUCCUCGGUACGAUAUAGGCAACGCGAUACGAAGGUAUCGGCACCGAUGAAACUGAUACGCAUAUGGAGGGAAGUUGUGAGAGAAUCCAUUAUGCAUGUAUCCAUGAUCAGAAUCUUCGGAAUUUUGAUCUUAACAAAACCAAGAAAAAAAAUGUAGAGAAUAUUAAAUGUCUAAGAAUUCAAAACUACGUGAAUAUAAAAAAAUCAUAAAGAUUUUAAACGCGACAUCGUCGGAGACAGCGCAAAAGCAAGAUCUUGAAAAGCUAAGGAGACGUUAGAUUUCAAGAACAUUAUUACUCGUUUCCGGGUCUACAUUUCAUCAAUGUUGUACGCUCAUUCGGGGCACUCCAUAUACGGCGUAUCAUAUUCCCUCACGUCCAAAGGGAACUUGGAUCCCGGUUAAGCAUUCCGUCGCGAGGUACACGUCGGCUUUUAUGUAGCUACACGCUACUACCCGGGCAACCCUUCGGUCUUACGAGCCCUUUCUCGUCGUCCAUUACGGGAAAAUGGGGCGCGCGUGCUAAGUGUCGCGCAACAUUUCCCCGCUUUCCCGCUCUAAUGACUUCUAGCGAGACUCCGAUUCGCCCGAAGCUCGUUUAAUAAAUGCUUUUUGUAAGUCUAUUAUUAAAGGUGGACGAGAUGAUCGGUGUAUUAUUAAAUCGACAUUUGCAUAUGUUCGCGAGCGGAGCGUAGGAAGGAAAACGCGGAUGUUGAAUAUUGAAAAUUCACGAAGCGAUGACUCUCCGGCAAAUUUCCUAGAAGAAACUACCAAAUCCACAAACUUGUUGGAAAAGUAUAUACGAUAUCUCAUUAAAACUUGUACGCUUACAGACUGCUGUCUUUCUACUCUCUCGCUGCUUUAUAUAUAUAUAUAUCUUAAUAUACAUAUAUAUACACUUAAUAUUUUCUAGGUUUCUCCUACUUCUAAUCGAGAAUUUCCCGAGCCGGAAGAAACGCGCUGAAUUCGUCUCGCAGGCUUGCGCGAGGCACAUUUGUCUCCAGAAUGUGCCGCGACUCCUGAGGGAUCCUUCCUCAUCAUCUACCGCCGACAAGUGGGUCGCACGUGCUGAAUGUUACAACAAGCAACAUCUCGCGGUUUUGCGCCUCGCUUGGCAAUUUUGACGGACGGUUAACAUUUUGCCGAAUAGACCACGUUUCGUUCCAGCUCUCUCGUAUUUCCGAGGAAAUGGUUUCCGACUACAAAAGUCAAUAUCCGCAUUAAGCAGGACGAAGAGAAGUUCGGUACGAAACCUGGGAUGAAUUCUGAAUAGCUGACUUGUCAUGUCGAAGCCACGCGAGGCGAUAAACGUCAUGUCAGUCAAGCGGCUGACCCCACUGGGGUCAUCGUGGCGUCAAAAUCGAUCGAUGAUGGCGUUAUCGAGAAUGAUGACGUUGACGUCAGUCUUGUCUGUCGGCGGAUACGAGGCUAUCGGUAUCGACUAGGGGCGAUGACGAUGACAGGAAAUAAACCAAACUUCAAACUCCGUGUGUAAAAAGAAAAGUUGCCAAACGGUGGUAUAACGAUUCGUCAUAUAAUUUCAAUCUUAAUUUUAAGUUCGCUCAAAAUCAGAUAUUUAAGUUCAACAACAAAGUUAAGGAAAGAAUGCCGGCAUGAAAAUUUUCAUUAAAGAAAAAUCUACUCGGAAAUAUUCAAAGGAUCCGUAGAUGAAGAAUGGAGCGGCGCGUAUUCGCUCGAAAUUGUUAAUCUCAUGGUUUGCGAAAUACCAACUUUACAGAGUAAUCAUUCUUAUAUUAGUUCUCCUCGUACUUGAAAUUUUUAUUUACAUUAUAAUAACAAACGAUGUAGGAAUGAAUGAAUUCCUACAUCGUUUAUUACAUCCUGGAAUAGAUAGCAAUCGCCGUUGACAUAACGGCGAGUACUUUCGCGCGUUAAAAGCUCCCAUGAAACCUCGGCCGCGUAUCACUUUGCAAUUACCUUCGUCGAAAUAAUAACGCACAGCAACGCGUGCCACGCUAAAACAUCCAUUUCCUCCCGAUUUCAGGAUAUAAUCCCUCGCCAUCACGGCUUUCGCGAUUAAGUAAUGGACUAAUGGAAUGAUGUAAUAAAAUAAUGGCAUGAUCCGCGUUCUGCCGGUUGAUUCCAACGUGUUAACGUUAUAGUGAUAAUGGUGGAAAAUAUAUAUUACACUUUCCUAAACUGUUAAUUCCUGUCAGCAAAUUAUCUUAAGUCUCUGGUGCUUCCUGAGUCCCCCCCCCCUUUCUCUCUCUCUCUCGCACGCAGGAAUAAAUCUCAAAUAUUUUUAAUUUAUCCUAAUUCGCUGCUAAUCUUCUACAAAUCUAUUUGUUUAUUUUUUUAUUUUUCUCUAAAAAAUUUCAGAAGAAUUUUUUGCCAUUUUUUGAGUCUACUUCAAUCACUAGUGAAAUUAAUACUAGUCGAUUUAUGUACCUAUUUGUCUCUAUUGUGACGUAGUUUCGAUAUACACGUCAAAGUAUCGACAACAUCUGUAUUAUGUGUCCGAAAUCGGAAGUCGUGCUUAUGACGCGUGCUGAACGUUCGUGCGGUUUCCGCGGCCGUCGCGGCAUUUACGCUCCGUUUAAACCGCGCCCGCGAUAACCACCUCCCGUUGUAAUUUGUGGAAUCAUCCCUUACUUCGCACGCUCGCGACGGCUAAAUGCAGCGAAACGGAAAUUACCGAGAACACACCACCGCUCCAGGUAUUAAUGCUUUAAGACGAAACUCAGAACAACGGAUGCAACGAAAUUUGUCUUCUAUGAUUCCAGAUACACAUGUAAACGCAUCCCGUGUCUUUAUUUCAAAUUUUGCAAAUGGGUUACACAAUCGAGAUGCAAUACAGAUACGAUAACAAUAAAAAAACACUAAAAUAGUUUCAUGAAAAAAAAUUUGGAACGCCUGCAGCUAUCCAUAUUUAAAACGAUAAACGACAUAUCUGUUUCCAAAUGUUUGAUGUCGGUUUUAACGCGCUCUGAACUUGAGCGCCACACAUAAACUGCAAAUACUGCAAGUACAAAAACUUUUCAUACCCAUCGCAGGCGAGUAAAGUUACGUAACUGUCGGAGCGAUUACGCGUGACCCGGAAUUAAAAAGAAGCGUGAUCGUAAAAAGAGAAAACUUUUCUCCGAAUGCAUCAGCAUUUCCCGAACGACUCAUACCUGUCUCGGUUCACGUUCCACGGAGGAAGCCAUAUCGAUCAGUAAACCGUUCUGGGAAUCCCGAAAGCUGUUUGUCUUAUAUCUCCGUAAUACGACUCGUCCGUAACCAAACAAAAGUAGUCUCGUGGUUUCGUUCGUUCGAUGGCGAGGCGCGCCGGCGACGUCGUCUUGUUUUCCACAAAGCGACCAUACAGAAUAUUACGCCCCAAAUUUACCUAGAUGUAGGACUAAAGGAAAAAAUCUAUUUUCUUAUUUAAACACUGCACAAAUCUAAUGUUAAACCUGCAUAUUUCAGAAGACACAUCUCUCUGCAUAUAAUAAACACCGGUUAAAAAAAAUUAAGCAAAAAUUUAUGCAAAAAGGGUAAUUCUAGCCUGUAAAAUGUCUAUCUUCCAAGUUGUUAUAUUGACGAUUAAUCCUCGACUACUUGCCUUUAAUAUCUCUUGUAAUCGUUCCCUCGCCUCCCUCUUAUUACUUGCUCAAUGUUAUUAGAGACACGGGAUAUACUCGAAGCAAUCCGUAUACAGCUCGUCUGUGGUUUUGCUCAAUCGUGGGGCUUCCGGGCGUGACUUCAUAUUGCGUUACACCGAGGUGAAAUCUUCCCUCUAGCCGCGGAUAUUUGCCGUCCAAUAACAUCUCCGGUAUUCCCGGCGCCGUCUGUUUUUCCGAAAUAACGAACGGGCGUUCCCCCUCUCCCCCUACCCUACACCUCGCAUCGCGGAUCUCCUUUUUCAUCGCUAAUUACACCGGCACCGCCAUUCGGCUCUCCUCUAUAGGACUCGUGUUUUCGUUUGUAAUUUUUCGCAAUUAAGGAACAUGCGAGUUUCAACGAAAUUAAUACCGCGUAUCGUUUUUUUAUACCAUUUUUGUAAUUACGAUGUACGUACAUGAAAUAUUAGAUUAAUGGCAAACAUUAAAAAAUUGAUGAAAAAUUCUGGAUAAUGUAUUUGUAAUCAUAUAAAUUUGAGUUAAGUUUUAGCUCUAUAGUAUUAAAAUUUAUGCGUUUAACUCUCUCCCAUGUUUUUUUAAAAAUAAUAAACAUAUUUUUACAAUGAAAAUUUAUAACGAGCAAAUGCAAAAAGAAAGAAUCAAUUUUUUGAACUUUUACAGUGACCUAAUUCCCAAAUGGAAUCGAAAAGCAUCUCUUGGUAUAAUAUUCAAUUUAUGGAUGCAAACAGAUACGUGAUCCGACUCAUCCACCGUACAUCGAUAGUACAUGGAAGCUCUCGAAAUAGCGUACGUUCAGCCGAGAUCGUCGGAUUGACGAAAGCGGAGAUCCGAAAUUAUGUACCGGGUGCGAUCGACUCACUGAGUGCGAGUGGCUUGUCGAUACGCGUUCAGCACCUAUUCGGAGUUUGGCUUCCUCGCGCGGCGAGACGUGCGAUCCGCUGGUUAAAUUAAUCAUCGCGUUCGCGGAUGAUCGAUGCGAAUGGAACGGGCGAAGAGACGAGCUACUUCGGACCGCACCGAAGCGGCGUCCGUAUCAAUUCUCACCGAUUACUCGAACGUGCGAAACUCGGCUCGCCUGGGGGUAGAAUUUCCGAGGAAAUUCAAGGGGUUAUUAUCAAAGCGAUGUAGACGUGAUCUGAUGGCUGAUUGACGAUACUGCCAAAUAAGUCGACAUACUCCUACUCCUUUUUUUCCUAAACGUGUGUAAUUCGUAGAAAACAGCGUUUUAAAUUUUCGAAGGCAAAAACCUGGUCUCUUUUAAUUCUCGCAAUUCUCGCAGCGCCGUGUAAACGCCGCGAUAUUUAAAUGCGCGUGAGACGCGCGUAUUUUAAUUAUAUUCGUACAAGCAAAGACUUUUACUCACGUAUUUUAGUCUCGGCCCUUGAGAAAUACUACACUUCCUCUUGCCUUCGCAUAUGGAAAUCUCGCGAAAAGCUGUGGCGACCAAAAUUUCGUUGCGAGAGCAAAAUCUUGGCGCCCGCAAUUCCGGUGCUCGUGCUCUUGCGAUUUUAACCACGAAAUAAAGAUCUCGUCCCAAGGAACGUGGCUCUCCCACGCUUUGCCGUAAUGUCCCUGAUUUAUGUGUCGGUCCCCGGCGCCGCGUAAAGAAGUUAAUUACAAACGGCUCGAGCGUUUUAAAACGCAGUUACCUGCCAUUUCGCUAUCUCAGCGCACCAGUUCCCAGCUCUUAAAGCAGAAUCCACGCGGACGAGAAAAUCCUCUUUUAGCUUUACUCCAAAAAUUGAUUAUUACGUAAAUAUGUAUCAAGUCUCUCUCCGAAACAAUGCAUGUGCACCACAUGCAUGCAGUAAUAUGCGCACAACGAUGACAAUAACGCGAAAAUGGACGAGAAUUCAAUUCGUGCGCGUGAUGACAAUACUAGAUUCGAAUUUCGCCGAAACUCGCCGUUUAUGACGGUACACGCAGCCGAAUAUCUCGCGGCGUUCCGAUUCUAGAGUUUGUUUGUUUGUGAAACGACGCCGGAGGAAUAAAGUCGCCGACCGCCCCCGUCGUUUUGUCGAUAGGCGAGGGCGGUUGCCGGGUGUUCAAUCAUGAAAUCGUAAAUGUCGAGCAAUCCGAGCAUGACCGAUCGAUCGCCGCUUUCCACCGCUCGCAAUUAUUAUCGCGGGCCGACGAAUGACCCGAAUAAAUUAUCCCGUUUCGCAUUUCCAUCCCCCGUCGUGAUAAAUUCCGUGGCUAAUCAUCCCUGACAUCGUGCAUUACUCUUUUCGCGCUCCGAUCUCUCUCUAUACUAGGUAUUUUGAUAAUCGGAAAAGUCCAUCCGUUUUACUGUUUAAUAAAUUUCCAAUGAACAGGAAUUAACCAAACCUUUUAAAAGAAAAUUCGGCCAAGAAAAAAGAUGCGGGCAAACAAUGUUUUCGCUUUCUAAAAAAAAACCCUAACCUUUUUCGCAAGAAUCCCGCAACGGUCCCUAUUUCUGGCAGCGCGGAAUAUUUAUUCGGGCCACGGCCGUAAAUCAAAGUGCCUAAUUUUUUAUUUCGUGCAAUCGCGAGUCGCGAGUCGCGAAUCGCGAGCCGAACAGUCGUAAAUACUUCCGGCACGGCAAAUAUGGCGGAUUUAUCACUGUAAUUUCACGUAAACACGACAGUCGGUGCUAUUAAUUAUACCCACUGCAUGUUUGAUCAAACGAUGCGCGCGCGUCGCGCUACGAUUCGCUAAUCGGCAAACAAGCGAAAAGAUUUACUACAUGGAUUAUCGAUAUCCUCUCCCUCUUCCUCUCCCUCGCCCUCCCGCGAUGUAUUCGCGACGCGAUCGACCGUGGGCGUCCGAGAAAACCUCUUAAUUAAAGUAUGAGAGAGCAGUCUAUCUCGAAGUUGGAAGAAAAUAAAUCGAGCCUAAUCCUACUCGGUCCAGCUAUUUUUGUGCCGAUGGAUGAAAUGUAGCGAUAAUCGUUUGGAGAAUAAAAACAAAACUGUAACGCGCGAAUAUAGUUUCCUUGCGAUGCAAUUAUCGUUACGUUCAUGCAGUUCCUUCAAGUUGUGAAACCUGCGAAAUGUAAAGUAGAUCUAGAAAACGGUUCACGUCUUCAGAGGGUGCUCACAAUUUUAAAAGAGCUGUACUCGUAAAGAUUCUUUGACUUCCAACGUUAUUAAUCCUCGAGCGAAAUUCUCGAAUACAAAUUACUCGAGAAAAAUAACCGAGGCAGAAACUUCGAGUAGAACUCUUUUUGCCACUCCUGUCUCGACUCGAAAGUUUACACCGGUCGGAAAAACAGCCAUUAAAGUCAGCGUGAAAGAAAUUAAAGAUACUUUUGCAUUGGGGAGCCAUCGCGCGUUCCCACGCGAGCUUUUGCGCGAGCACUAAGAGCCGCUUGGUCGAGUUAACUUAACUCGCGUGGAUGUAAACCGCAUUAUAUCGCGACUAGAGAGAGAGAGAGAGAGAGAGAGAGAGAGAGAGAGAGAGAGAGAGAGAGAGAGAGAGAGAGAGAUCCAAGGAGAUCCCCGCGGCCGGCGAUCCACUUGCAAAAACGCAUUUUGCAAAGGAUGCAUUCUCAACUCAGAUUUCAUAAUCCACACGAGUGUCCAUGUCGCGAUAUGCAUACGUUACCUUUAAACAGCGUAUGAAUAAUAAAAAAAAAAAAAACAUUGUUCGAAAAACGUAUUCGUAGGCAAAGCAUCUCUCUGCGAGAACGAAUCGAAGAUUAAUGACAAAGCAGAUUAAAUCGCGCCAGUUUUUCAGUUUGCAGUUUGCAAUGUUAUUCCGAACGGUCCACUGAGCGAUGCAAGUACCAUGCAGACCUGGGCUUACGGUGGAAAAAGCGAAAUGGAUUCACUUCUACUUCCGACUGCGGCAACCGGUAAAACCCUGAGCAUAUAUCUAUGACAUGCGUUGCAAAUGGUAUAACCACAAAAGUGGGCAGUGGGUUCAUUAUUCAGCUUUCGCGAAAAUAAAGCGAAAUCUACAUAAUUAAAAUUAACUUUCUCUCCGCUUUCUGUUUGUUAACCACGUCGCGCAAAACCGGGCCGGAUUUUUAACAAAUUUCCCGAGUAUAUUUGAGAAGGGCUGUUUUUUAAAAUAUUAAGCUACACGGUAGUACGCUAGAUUUAUUUUUCUCUGUGUACACUUUAAUUACAUUUUUUUUCCUUCUUUUCAUAUCGUAUCAGAUGGUAGACCGUCGUCAUUUUGCACUAUGUCUUUCGAGUCAACAAAUACACGUAGCAUUUCAUCUACUGGAAUUGCUCGAUCAAUUUGGGAGAGAUAAAUUUUUUUCCAAAUGAGAAUUUUUUUAUUCUCCUGAGGAUAUCUCGACUGUCAAAGGGCCACCGAGGGGUCUUUUCAGAAUUCCACCCUCGCAAAUUUCACCCUCGUUCACUAUCGUCUACACGUUUGGACGUCUGCACGCGACUAUCCGAGCUUGUAUCGUUCAGGUUCACGUUGGUACCUUAUAGAAACGAACGUAAAGAGAAGAAAACGUCGAGCGGUAGGAAUCGCUUUUAUUUUGUCUCUUUUCCUCUCCCCGCGAAACUCACAACGCUCUGUAAAUACAACGAAACAGCGUCAUAUUGUGCCACCGGUAAUGGCCGCUGCUUGUUUAUCGCGAUGCUCGUAUUCAAUGGUCGACGAAAUAUACUGGGUGUCCCACCGUAUUUUCUCCUGACCAUGCACAUUUUUCGAGAAACGCCGAAUCUCGAAAAUUCGACGCAAAUUUCAAAGAAAUUAUUUCGACUCGUGCACGACAAUACCUUCGACUGUUAUAUAAGGAAAAUUUAUAAAACCAUCAAGAGUAGAUUUUUCCUCAUUUUCAAACAACGAUUAUGUUCAAACAACAUCUAUUUUGAUAUUAAAGCAGAAUGUUAAGUGUACAUGUGCGUUUUUCGCUGUAAAAGCGCAUUCCUUUCCCAAUUUAUUCGCAUUGUUGCGCUCUCGCGCCAGGAAGUAUUCCACGUCAUCUUAGCGAAGCAUAUUUCAAUUCCGAGUCGCGAGAGCGCGUUUCCGCAUUUUUACGCCGACAGAUGCAAAAUUCUGUACAAAAUUGCGCGCAUGUGCUCUUCUCGCGGCGGCGAAAACUUUUUGCCGUUUCGCUGCUGCAAUAAGACACGCGUCUAUAAGCGGAAGGCAAGCAUAAAGACGAGUAGUGGAUAUUAAUAUUUGACGGGCCAGGAAGAGUACGAGUGCAGUUUGCUUCGUAUUGAGAAAAUGCGUUACAGAACGUAGAAAAUCCCCGGCAGCUCCUUGAAGUUUAUUGUUUCAUAAGUUUCGCGAGACAAAAUGGGCGGUAUAAAGAGAAGGAGCAAAAGAGAGAGAUAGGAAUUCUACUUAUUAUUCUGAGGUGAAUCCUGUUGAGAAGCAAAUAUAAUAACAUUACGUAAAUAAUACAAAUGUAAAAACUGUACAAUAUAUCAAGAAUUCUCAUUAUUGUUAAAUAAAUUUAUAAUAAGAUUUUAAUUUUAAAUAAAGAGAACGUUGUACCACUUGACCUAAAAGCCUCCAUAAUCUGUAAUCUAUUAAAAAUAACACGAAAAUCUAUAUUAUUUAACAAAAGAUAAAUUGUAAUUUAUAGCGUAAAGCAAAAAUUAAAUUUAUCAGGAGAUAUAAAAACUUUUGAACUCAAAACUCCCAGAAUCUAAGGAUCUAAUAAAUCUCACGUGGUAAUAAAAGAUUUAAGACACUUUGUCAUGACGUAUCCUAACAAAUCUCAUAGUUCAAAAAUUCUAAGCCUCCAAUUUACGAUUACUUGUGCAAUAUUCAAGCGAAUUUAUGCGAGGAUCUCGUGAAGCAGUGAUUUCUUGCGUGUCGAACCUCUCGAAUUCCCGGCGUCUGUCGUCCAUUUCGCUUUGUAUUCCGCUUCCGUGGAACGUUUCUCAAGAAACGGGAAUCAUUCAUACGUUCAACAACUUUGUUCAUCGCGAUAUAUGUAUGUCGACAUGAAAUAAAGAUCCAAGACACGUUGGAUAACGUGCCAAGAUUCUUCCUCAAUAUAUGGGGAAUAUAUCUGGGAUAAAAGUGGCGCGAAGGUUAACGCAGGCACAUUGACAAAACGUUAGAGAUUCGAGUCGAAACAACAAUGUUGACGGAUUGCAUUUACUUGAUUCUACACAGGUUCAAACAGGUUCGCUACUCACGGACGAAUUUCAUUUGUGGAAACUUUCAACUAUCGGCCAUCUUUGUUCGAGCAAUAUUGACGAACUUUGGCCGAAGUUCGAACUUUGACCGACGACUCGACAAGCUUGGUCUCGACUAUUGACAUAUUCCCAAUGUUAUGCUACUUCCGAAGAAACCGCUAACGAGCAUUUAGCAUGACAUUGAUUCAAAGAUCGCGCUCUAGUUGAAAUGCUAUGCCCCUGCAAAUCCUGUAUUGAAACUCUUAAAUCCUUUCUCUUCAUUUAGAUUGCAAAAUACUCUUUCUCUUUCUGUUUAACUACUGCUCUUAAUUGUGUAACUUAGAGUAAAUUUAUUUCCUCAAAACCGACUAAUCAAUAAUGCAUCGGUAUGUGACGAUUGUGAAGUGGACAAAUGGCGAAACGGCGGAAUGUGAUGUACUGGUUGACGUCGAAAAGUGAACGACCGCAGCGUUUGCGGACUUCGCCGUUGUAACGGGGGAUACAGGAUGAAAUACUGUUGAUGGUCGGUAUUUUCACGCGGUCGAAACAAUUCAUCGCCAUUGCCAUCGAUAACAAGAGUCUACUACAUCUCGGAUCUAUCGUAUUAUUUCUUGAUGAAACACUCAAGAUGUGUAGAAUGGAAA